rnacentral:rRNA from 1 species
UACGUAGGGACCGAGCGUUGUCCGGAUUCAUUGGGCGUAAAGAGCUCGUAGGCGGCUGCUCAAGUCGAAUGUGAAACCUCGAGGCUUAACCUCGAGCCUGCAUUCGAUACUGGGCGGCUAGAGUCUGGUAGGGGGAUCUGGAAUUCCUGGUGUAGCUGUGGAAUGCGUAGAUAUCUGGAGGAACACCGAUGGCGAAGGCACUCUACUGGGCUAUUACUGACACUCAGAGACGAAAGCUAGGGGAGCAAAUGGG